GUGAAUAUAGUUUAACAAAAACAUUAGACUGUGAAUCUAAUUAUAGAAAUCCACCACUUCUUAUUCACC
rnacentral:tRNA from 1 species